AAAGAAAGGAGAUUUCUUCUGGUCGCACAUCAGGUGCACACUCUUCCCAUACCAGAGGAAGCUGCAAAAGAAAAUAGCUGGACAAUGUCCACAGUGCUCCAGAUGCCACAGAAGAUGUCACAAAAAGUGAACAAGGAGUGCCCUUGGUCCUCAGCAACAGCUUUGGAGGUGUCCCAGAAGAAGAACCAGGUGAAGACAAUAACUAAAUAAAAUUGGAAAAGAAACAAUGCUGGAGGAACUCCUCUCUUGCAGCUGACACUUUCAGGCCAUACAAACAAAAGAUGUUUGGGGUUGCAAUAAGCAGAGAAGACUAUGACUUUGGGGGACUGUGCUUUAGAAAUGCCUUGAAUACCAUGUCUCACCCAUUCGACUUAAACAGACCUCAGGGAUAUAAUAAAUGUUUUGACCAACAAGGAAAAAGUACUUGAUCUGAAAA